UACAGAGGUGGCAAGCGUUGUUCGGAAUUACUGGGCGUAAAGGGUGCGUAGGCGGCGCGGAAAGUUGGGUGUGAAAUCCCUCGGCUUAACCGAGGAACUGCGCCCAAAACUACCGUGCUUGAGGGAGAUAGAGGUGAGCGGAACUUAGGGUGGAGCGGUGAAAUGCGUUGAUAUCCUAAGGAACACCGGUGGCGAAAGCGGCUCACUGGAUCUCUUCUGACGCUGAGGCACGAAAGCUAGGGUAGCAAACGGG
rnacentral:rRNA from 1 species